rnacentral:rRNA from 1 species
GAACGGGAAAUAUUUAUUGAAACUUCGGUCGAUUUAAUUUAUGUCUAGUGGCGGACGGGUGAGUAACGCGUGGGUAACCUGCCUUAUACUGGGGGAUAACAGCCAGAAAUGGCUGCUAAUACCGCAUAAGCGCACAGAACCGCAUGGUUCCGUGUGAAAAACUCCGGUGGUAUAAGAUGGACCCGCGUUGGAUUAGCUAGUUGGCAGGGCAGCGGCCUACCAAGGCGACGAUCCAUAGCCGGCCUGAGAGGGUGAACAGCCACAUUGGGACUGAGACACGGCCCAGACUCCUACGGGAGGCAGCAGUGGGGAAUAUUGCACAAUGGGGGAAACCCUGAUGCAGCGACGCCGCGUGAAGGAAGAAGUAUCUCGGUAUGUAAACUUCUAUCAGCAGGGAAGAUAAUGACGGUACCUGACUAAGAAGCCCCGGCUAACUACGUGCCAGCAGCCGCGGUAAUACAUAGGGGGCAAGCGUUAUCCGGAUUUACUGGGUGUAAAGGGAGCGUAGACGGCGCAGCAAGUCUGAUGUGAAAGGCAGGGGCUUAACCCCUGGACUGCAUUGGAAACUGCUGUGCUUGAGUGCCGGAGGGGUAAGCGGAAUUCCUAGUGUAGCGGUGAAAUGCGUAGAUAUUAGGAGGAACACCAGUGGCGAAGGCGGCUUACUGGACGGUAGCUGACGUUGAGGCUCGAAAGCGUGGGGAGCAAACAGG